rnacentral:rRNA from 1 species
GACGAACGCUGGCGGCGUGCCUAACACAUGCAAGUCGAGCGGAGAUAGACUGAUGGUAACUGAAGUUUGUCUUAGCGGCGGACGGGUGAGUAACACGUGGGCAACCUGCCUUGGAGUGGGGGAUAACACCGGGAAAUCGGUGCUAAUACCGCAUAACAUACACAAACUGCAUGGUAAGUGUAUCAAAGGAGUAAUCCGCUUUAAGAUGGGCCCGCGGCUGAUUAGCUAGUUGGUAAGGUAACGGCUUACCAAGGCGACGAUCAGUAGCCGACCUGAGAGGGUGACCGGCCACACUGGAACUGAGACACGGUCCAGACUCCUACGGGAGGCAGCAGUGGGGAAUAUUGCGCAAUGGGGGGAACCCUGACGCAGCAACGCCGCGUGGAGGAAGAAGGUCUUCGGAUUGUAAACUCCUGUCUUCUGGGACGAAGUAUGACGGUACCAGAGGAGGAAGCCAACGGCUAACUACGUG